rnacentral:rRNA from 1 species
UACGAAGGGGGCUAGCGUUGCUCGGAAUCACUGGGCGUAAAGGGUGCGUAGGCGGGUCUUAAGUCAGGGGUGAAAUCCUGGAGCUCAACUCCAGAACUGCCUUUGAUACUGAAGAUCUUGAGUUCGGGAGAGGUGAGUGGAACUGCGAGUGUAGAGGUGAAAUUCGUAGAUAUUCGGAAGAACACCAGUGGCGAAGGCGGCUCACUGGCCCGGUAGUGACGCUGAGGUGCGAAAGCGUGGGGAGCAAACAGGG